GGUCCAUGGCUCACUGGUAGAACACCUGCCUUGCAUGCAGAAAGUUCCAAGUUCAAUCCCUGGUAUCACCA
rnacentral:tRNA from 1 species